GAGUUUGAUCAUGGCUCAAAUUGAACGCUGGCGGCAUGCCUUACACAUGCAAGUCGAACGGCAGCACGGGAGCAAUCCUGGUGGCGAGUGGCGAACGGGUGAGUAAUACAUCGGAACGUGUCCUGUAGUGGGGGAUAGCCCGGCGAAAGCCGGAUUAAUACCGCAUACGAUCUACGGAAGAAAGCGGGGGAUCCUUCGGGACCUCGCGCUAUAGGGGCGGCCGAUGGCAGAUUAGCUAGUUGGUGGGGUAAAGGCCUACCAAGGCGACGAUCUGUAGCUGGUCUGAGAGGACGACCAGCCACACUGGGACUGAGACACGGCCCAGACUCCUACGGGAGGCAGCAGUGGGGAAUUUUGGACAAUGGGGGAAACCCUGAUCCAGCAAUGCCGCGUGUGUGAAGAAGGCCUUCGGGUUGUAAAGCACUUUUGUCCGGAAAGAAAACUUCUGCCCUAAUACGGCGGGAGGAUGACGGUACCGGAAGAAUAAGCACCGGCUAACUACGUGCCAGCAGCCGCGGUAAUACGUAGGGUGCGAGCGUUAAUCGGAAUUACUGGGCGUAAAGCGUGCGCAGGCGGUUCGUUAAGACAGAUGUGAAAUCCCCGGGCUUAACCUGGGAACUGCAUUUGUGACUGGCGAGCUAGAGUAUGGCAGAGGGGGGUAGAAUUCCACGUGUAGCAGUGAAAUGCGUAGAGAUGUGGAGGAAUACCGAUGGCGAAGGCAGCCCCCUGGGCCAAUACUGACGCUCAUGCACGAAAGCGUGGGGAGCAAACAGGAUUAGAUACCCUGAUAGUCCACGCCCUAAACGAUGUCAACUAGUUGUUGGGUCUUCAUUGACUUAGUAACGUAGCUAACGCGUGAAGUUGACCAAUCACUA
rnacentral:rRNA from 1 species